rnacentral:tRNA from 1 species
GCCGGGUGGCUCAGUCGGUAAGCGUCUGACUUCAGCUCAGGUCAUGAUAUCGUGGUUCGUGGGUUCGAGCCCCGCAUCAGGCU